UCGGAUCCAAGCAAAGAAGAAAGGGUAUAGACACCCGUGGGCGGUGUGAGCCUUUCGGUCUCUCCGGGACAGGAAAAGACCCCUGUUUUGGCUCUGUUUUUCUUUCCUCCUCCUCCUCCUUCCUGGGUUUCUGUCAACAGUUUAAGGCCGACACCGGUCUUGGGUUUCUGUCAACAGUUUAAGGCCGACACCGGUGGAGGUUUCGGGAGGAGGGGUUGACUGAAGCAGUAGUGAGCAAUGGAAUCCAUGAGAGGAGGGAGGAAAUGGUGAUCCUGAGAGAUCCCAUUGAAAAAAGAGAAGGCAGGGGAGUGAAAGGGAAGGGAUUAUAUGGAGGAGGGUUUUGAUUGCAAGUUGGGUUCUUUUGGUCUUUCUAGAGAGAGAGAGAGAGAGCACACAGAAUGGAAGUCUCAAGAGAGAGAGUUC
rnacentral:lncRNA from 1 species